rnacentral:lncRNA from 10 species
GUCUGUAUUUCCGCCGGCGCGAAACGAGCGUAGCUUCCUUGUCGUGUGGCCUCAGUCCUUCGCCGUCCCUCGCCGUCCUUCGCCAUCGCACGCCACCGCACCCCAUCUCUCGAAAUCUGCAGACAUCUUGAUUUUUCCCACGCUGUCUGUCAGGUCUCCGCCGCCACUCGACGCCAGGGCGCCGGGUGAGUCCACAGCAGGGCGCAUGGUCGGCUCCACUCUCACCAUCGGGGGAAACUGAGGCCCCGGGGAAGGCGGCCAGAGAGGUCAGGCCCUGUCCUUGGUGCAGUGUCUCGUCCUCUUUGCCGGAGUGAGCCCCCCAGGAUUCGCGUGUCCUCGGGAAAGACACUGGCAGGCCUUGUGGGCUGUGCUGCACCUCGGACGGCUUCGCACCAGCCAGCGCCCUCUCUCUCCUGCAGCACUCUGAUCUGCACCCCCUGAGGGGCUUCCACUGUCCGCGGGGUGAGAAUGCCCCUGGGAGUGUCACAUGACUGCCGCCCCAUGUGUGUGAGAGGCGUCCUCUGGGAGAGCAUGGAUCCUGAGGUCCCAGGAUUGUCAGCUGACCUCUGUCCUGUGUGCCCAGUGGCCCCAGGUGACGUGUCUUCAAGAAGAGGCUGAGCUGCGGUGCUUGUAAGGUCUCAGCCUUAGAUCCAAGGACAGUCCAAGGAAGUCCUAAGACCAUGGAGUUGGUGAUCUGGGAUCUGGGUUUGCUGAUAUUUCUCACCGUGAAUCUCUUGGUGGUGUUUGUGGGCACGAGAGGGGCAGAGAAUGGAGAGUGAGGCUACCACAUGAAGCGUCACCAGAGCUGCUCCCUGCUGCCUGCUCAGAGCACCCCGGAUCCACUGUUCAAUCUGCACAAGAUUCGGGGUCCAGACAUGGGAGACUUCAGCUGCCUCAGAGGACCGUGGACAGGGAAGGCCAGCCUCGCAUCCCUCUGUCCAUGCCUGGAAUGACUUUAAUAACCAAGAGUUUUAUUUUUGAAUUUGUAGCUGUCGUUCACUUUUUACCCACCCAUUCAAUAAACCUUACAGAAUUGCUCCAUG